rnacentral:rRNA from 1 species
AUUGAACGCUGGCGGCAGGCCUAACACAUGCAAGUCGAGCGGAUGACGGGAGCUUGCUCCUUGAUUCAGCGGCGGACGGGUGAGUAAUGCCUAGGAAUCUGCCUGGUAGUGGGGGGCAACGUUUCGAAAGGAACGCUAAUACCGCAUACGUCCUACGGGAGAAAGCAGGGGACCUUCGGGCCUUGCGCUAUCAGAUGAGCCUAGGUCGGAUUAGCUUGUUGGUGAGGUAAUGGCUCACCAAGGCGACGAUCCGUAACUGGUCUGAGAGGAUGGUCAGUCACACUGGAACUGAGACACGGGCCAGACUCCUACGGGAGGCAGCAGUGGGGAAUAUUGGACAAUGGGCGAAAGCCUGAUCCAGCCAUGCCGCGUGUGUGAAGAAGGUCUUCGGAUUGUAAAGCACUUUAAGUUGGGAGGAAGGGUUGUAGAUUAAUACUCUGCAAUUUUGACGUUACCGACAGAGUAAGCACCGGCUAACUCUGUGCCAGCCGCCGCGGUAA